rnacentral:rRNA from 1 species
UACGAAGGGGGCUAGCGUUGCUCGGAAUCACUGGGCGUAAAGGGCGCGUAGGCGGCCAAGUAAGUUGGGGGUGAAAGCCCGUGGCUCAACCACGGAAUUGCCUUCGAUACUGCUUGGCUUGAGACCGGAAGAGGUGAGUGGAACUGCGAGUGUAGAGGUGAAAUUCGUAGAUAUUCGAAAGAACACCAGUGGCGAAGGCGGCUCACUGGUCCGGAUCUGACGCUGAGGCGCGAAAGCGUGGGGAGCAAACAGG